AGAAAAAAUCCCCCCCAAAAAACAGAAAAAAAAGAGGGAAAAGAGAGAGAAGAAGGGAUUCAGCGCCUUCUCCAACGGGAAUGGCGAUCCACUUCUUCAUGGAUGGGUAGGGUUGGGAUCGGUCCUCCGUGAAGACUCGCAAAGCUCUAAUCGAUGGAAACCAUCAAGGCUCAUUUAAUUUUGAAAAGGGCAAGCUGGGGAGAGCAUACUGAAGUUGCAUUUCAAUACUUGUAGAAGGUUUAAGGAAUGUCAUUUAUUCGGACUCCUGUUGGUGUUGGAUUGUCAUACUCCAUUAACAAAUCAGAUUAUCACACUAGGCGUCCAAAGACUGCUGCUAAUACACAUCUGCUUCGGCUGAAGGCAGUGAAUCAUACGCUGGGAUUUAUGUUCCCAAACUUACUGCAGAGUUUGCCAUUUGCCAAUAAUAAUUAGUUUCAAGCGCAAGUAUUUGGUGAGACUGCUAAAUUGUUGCUACUUAAGUUGCCAUGAAUUGAACAUGGUGAAAGCCUAGCCCCCACUUUAAGGGUAAAGCCCCUCGACUGAGGUAAGAUUUUUCUCGUUCUUUUUUUGUUUUUUUAUUUAUGUAUUUAUUUAUUUGGGAUAAAAGUGGGUGAACCAUGUUUUGUUAAAACAGAGUCACAUCUUGUACAUGUAGAAGUAAAAUAAAGAUAAGAAUUUUUUGAAGGCAUAUUAUAAAUAUCAUAUUGUCUCGUGGUAUUUUUCUUA